AAAAAAGAAAAAAAGAUUAGAAGGAAUUUGCUUUUUCAAUGUAAUUAUAGGUUAGUGAGUAUUUUAGACUAAGAUUUAAAAAAAAUCAGUUUGACAAGUCACAGCACUGUCAGGUGAAUCUAUGCAACAUGUUUAGGGUAGUGGGAUGUUGAGCUUUGAAGACCUGAGAAAUGGUAAGUGAAUUUUUGGAGCCACGUUUGGCACUUUGUGAUUUGAGGCACCCUGGUGUUUCCAAAGGAGAGAGUUCAGCCUUCUGUGUAAGAACGACCUACAAGGGGCCUCAGGUGAUCAUCAUGGAAAGAACAGAUUAUCUGCUUAGAAAAGAAACUGGCUGAGGAGAAUUUCAUCAAGAGGAGCCUUAGGAUAAAGUUGUGCCAACAGUUUAAUAAGAACAAACCUAACCGAGGGGGAAGAAUGAACUCAGUUGUUCUCACUCUUAAUUCAUGGCUUUAUUUUAAAUUAACUAGUUGAAAUGUUAAAAUUUUAUGAACUUGUAUUUCUUUUAAAAUCCUUAGACUAAUUUUUUUAUUGUACUGUUUUCUAUUCGGUGAAAGAACACAGUAGGAUCUCAAUAAGCUUUUGUGGACAGAUGCAGAUAUUAUAUCUAUGUUUCAAAUUAUUACUGCUUUUGUUAUUUUUGCAUUUUGUAGCAGAAUUGUAUUACAAAAUACUUAAUUCAUGCAUUAAGAAGAGAGGAUGAAGAAGAUUGCAGAGCAUUAAAGAUGAAGAUCUGAGCAGAAAAGUUGAAUGUGAUAUUUGGAUUCAGCAAUGAAUGAUUCAUUCAAGGAAACUACCCUAAAACGCCAGGUUCUCCCUAGCCUCACUGGACAAGGAGACGAAGAGAUAAAGGAGAUAAAAAGUGCUCAUAUCCACAGAGCCCCACUGCCAUGUGCUCUCACUCAUUUAUAUUCAUGUUAUACCAAGGUGCUUUCUCUAUGUCUGAGUAGAAACAAGAAACAACAACAAAACUUUGUUUGAGGCAGCUCAGAACUUUAACAACUCUGUUGAACAUGAAACAUUUUCCUCCAGGGUUAGGUGGCUGCCAGAUUUGGGUACUUAUGUAAUUUCUGCUCGCUCUUUCUGCCUCUCUCCAUACAUACACGCACCCUCUCUCUCAUUGACACAUCUCAAACUUUGACACUCACACCUAAUGGAGGCACAUAGUAGAGACCAGGGAUCCCAAACAGUUACUUAAGGGCCAGGGAGGUAACAAACAUCGUGGAGGAUGCAAGCUGGGUACAGGGAGUAUAUGAGCAUGUAGCAGAUCAAGAGAAUAUGAUUUUACCUAAGACAUUCAAAUUCAAGACUUUUAAAUGUUGUUGACUGAAGAUAAAAUGUCUGCAGCAUGUAUUUGGUUGUCAGAUAGCUGUCAGAUGGCAGUUUGCAGCCUCACUAAGUAGGAAAAUUAUAAAGAAACUGUCUAAUAUGCCCCUUACUUCAUCAGAUAUAUGUUUGCUCAGUGCUUUUAAAUGUCAUAAUUGCCAUGAACAUUUGAUAAUUACACAUUAUCUAAGUAUGAGCAAAUUAAGUGGAUUGUGGAAUGGAAUUCACAAGCAUAAACCCAAGGUAAAAACCCUAGAUCAGUGUUUUUUAAAGUAUGGUCCUCAAAUCAUUGCUAGCUCCUGGUCAUAAGUCAAAUGUUCGGCAGAAGCGGCAGUUUCAAAGGAAAAAAAUUACUGUAGAAAUUAUGUUUACAUAUAUGUCACAAACUUGAAAUGUGUAACAUUAAUUAUGCCUUUUAUGAAGCCCUUUAUAUAUGAUCUGUAUGAGUAAAUAUUAUUCAUGCACAAUAAAGCCAGUACAGUUGGAAUCUUCA
rnacentral:lncRNA from 1 species